AGCACAGACAAUAGUACUAGAUUUUAAAAAUUAUCUCAUAGUAGUAUAUACAUCUGGGAAAUUUUAAGAUAAGUCUUCACAACUUAGAAGAUGAAGGACUACUGGUUCGAAAUGAGAAAUAAAAAGCAAAUCCAGGCACAUAGUUUGAUUAAAGAUAUGUUCCGACUAGGAAACAAAAGUAUCAAGUUUUCUAACACAUGAACUUCCACACAACCGUGCAAUACGAGUCAAACCCACUGAAUCUUCCUUGCGUUGAUAUAAUUCAUCGCAUGUUAUCUCUGCGCCUGUUGUAUCUAUUGGGUCUUAUUCUGUCGUUACGCUGAGGGACAGGCUCUACUCUCCUCUGUCGUUCAGGUGAUCUUUGAAUUAUCUCCCCGUUGACAAAAAGUUCAGCUCCAUAAUCCUUGUAUUCAGGAUCAACAUAGGAAUCAGGCAGCACAAACAGAACACCUGGCAAACCUUCCAUUUUAUUAGCAGUCUCUUCAUCAACUUCACAUCCGAAACCAAAGUACCUCUCACAAGAGACAUUGUAAAUCUUCUUUUUUGCUUCCUCUUCACUCCCGAGGACUUUAGCAAGGGUUUGGACAUAACAAUCAAUCAUUUGCUGUUUAUGAGCUCCUUCUCCACCAGGCUUAUCCAUAACAAUGAGCCAGUGCUCGUAAUCGCAUCCCGGAAACAGUGGUGCCAUCUCAGUCGGAGCUCGGUCCCCGGUUCCUGGAGUGUAAGGAGAGCUACCGGACCGGUUAACUCUGAACCGUACCGUAUUGAGGCUAAACGGCUUGAGGCCAUUAGGGUUGGUAGGUAGAAGGGAGUGUGAGAGCAGAAAUGACGGCUGAGGUGAAGAUCCGACGGCAGGAAGUGACGGCGGUUGAGUAAUCGACGGCGAUGAAGCGGAGGAGAUGAAACGAGUAGAAAAACGAUAAGUGUAGAGGGUUCUAGAAAUGGAUUUGGUGAUUUUGGAGGCCAUUGAUGAAGUUUU
rnacentral:misc_RNA from 1 species